rnacentral:misc_RNA from 1 species
UCCCGUUUGACACGGGCAGUCCCAUUAGAGUGCCCUUUCGUAGCAACUAAUGGCAAGGGUUGCGCUCGUUGCGGGACUUAACCCAACAUCUCACGACACGAGCUGACGACGGCCAUGCAGCACCUGUGUCCUGGCUCCCUUUCGGGCACCCCCGCAUCUCUGCAGGGUUCCAGGCAUGUCAAGGGUAGGUAAGGUUUUUCGCGUUGCAUCGAAUUAAACCACAUCAUCCACCGCUUGUGCGGGUCCCCGUCAAUUCCUUUGAGUUUCAGCCUUGCGGCCGUACUCCCCAGGCGGGGCACUUACUGCGUUAGCGACGGCACCGGGAGGGUCGCUCCCCCCGACGCCUAGUGCCCAUCGUUUACGGCGUGGACUAC